AACGAACGCUGGCGGCAUGCCUAACACAUGCAAGUCGAACGAGACCUUCGGGUCUAGUGGCGCACGGGUGCGUAACGCGUGGGAACCUGCCCUUAGGUUCGGAAUAACUCCCCGAAAGGGGUGCUAAUACCGGAUAAUGUCUUCGGACCAAAGAUUUAUCGCCUUUGGAUGGGCCCGCGUUGGAUUAGCUAGUUGGUAGGGUAAAAGCCUACCAAGGCGACGAUCCAUAGCUGGUCUGAGAGGAUGAUCAGCCACACUGGGACUGAGACACGGCCCAGACUCCUACGGGAGGCAGCAGUGGGGAAUAGUGGACAAUGGGCGAAAGCCUGAUCCAGCAAUGCCGCGUGAGUGAUGAAGGCCUUAGGGUUGUAAAGCUCUUUUACCCGGGAUGAUAAUGACAGUACCGGGAGAAGAAGCGCCGGCUAACUCCGCG
rnacentral:rRNA from 1 species